rnacentral:rRNA from 1 species
CCUACGGGUGGCAGCAGUGGGGAAUAUUGGGCAAUGGGCGCAAGCCUGACCCAGCAACGCCGCGUGAAGGAAGAAGGCUUUCGGGUUGUAAACUUCUUUUCUCAGGGACGAAGAAAGUGACGGUACCUGAGGAAUAAGCCACGGCUAACUACGUGCCAGCAGCCGCGGUAAUACGUAGGUGGCAAGCGUUAUCCGGAUUUACUGGGUGUAAGGGGCGUGUAGGCGGGAAAGCAAGUCAGAUGUGAAAACCAUGGGCUCAACCUGUGGCUUGCAUUUGAAACUGUUUUUCUUGAGUACUGGAGAGGCAGACGGAAUUCCUGGUGUAGCGGUGAAAUGCGUAGAUAUUAGGAGGAACACCAGUGGCGAAGGCGGUCUGCUGGACAGCAACUGACGCUGAGGCGCGAAAGCGUGGGGAGCAAACAGGAUUAGAUACCCUGGUAGUC